UCGGAAGCCUGCCUGCCUGACUCCUGAUCUGUGAUCUGUUACUACUACUCCAGCCCCGGGCUUCUUGGUACAUCUCAGCAUUGGCGAAGUAUAGAGUGGCAGAGGAACGGAAGAUCAAAAUCCCUGGCAUCCGCUUCACCUGAAGUCAAUCGCUGUGUCCUGAAGAUGACGGUGAGCAUGGAGAAACCAAUGGCAGCAGCCAGCCCCAGGUCAGGGUUGAAUAGCACGUGCAGGGAUGUCCAUGAAUUGCUUCAUUAUACCAUGGAGGUUUACAAAGAUGAUGGCGGCCAGCACUGCCUGAAAACUGUGAACACCGACACACAGUACCUUCGGCAAAUCUUCAAAGAGCGUUCCAAUCCACAGCGUGAUGAAAAGGAUAAUAAUUGCUGAAAGAGCCCCAGCAACCUGCAGUGAAGAGAGAGGGAAGAUGGCGGCACGAUGAAUGUAAAUCAGAAGAGAGAGAGAGAGAGAGAGAGCAGAGGAAGAGAGGUAAAGAAGAAAAAGAAAAGAUGAAUGAUGUAGUCGUUAUAAGAGUGAAUUGGUACGUGAUUAUGAGAGGAUUCAACGCAUCAUCAGUCAAACCUCUUCACUCCUCUCCUCUGUAAUGGGCCUUAGCUGAUUAAUGGUGUUGUCAGACUAAAUCGUUUAGCCUCUGAGCAAAUCUGUGUUUGUGUAGGUGGACUUCAACGAUGUGAGUGAAAAUCAAUUUCCUAAGUGAUUUUUAAUGAUGCCACUUAUCAGAGUACUGUUUGUCAUUCAAUUUAACCUUUAAGAUAGCCAAGUUUUGGAGUGAAGAGUGAAAUAGUGACCUGAAAAAUGAUCUCAUGAAACGUUGUCAAGUUUUUAAAAAUAACAGGCAUAAAAACCAAAAACCAAUAAAACAUUUUUAAAUGUUGUUGAAAUUAUUUUCAGCCAUGUGGAAUAAACAAGGGAGAAGCAACACAUAUCAUGUAAACGAAAUUAAGAAAACAGA